rnacentral:pre_miRNA from 1 species
CCCAAAAAUCCAAGCAUGUGUCUCCAGCUUAAGGCUCAGGAAAAAGAAUGGACAGCAUCAGGGCAAGUUGCCCCGAUGGUUUGUAGACAACUUGCCCCGAUGCUGACUAUUUCUUUUCCUGAGCCUUUAGCUGGAGUCACAUGCUUGAAUUUUUGGGAGUG